GUGCUCGCUUCGGCAGCACAUAUACUAAAAUUGGAACGAUACAGAGAUUAGCAUGGCCCCUGCUCAAGGAUGACACGCAAAUUCAUGAAGCGUUCCAUAUUUUU
rnacentral:snRNA from 1 species